AAGAUAAAGUGACAAUGCUAAAUGAUCAUGGCCAAAAUACACAUGUAUUGACACGAUAUAAGUAAUUUUCCCCAAAAUUUGCAUUAACGAUAUCUACCGUGUUUUGAGCAAAUGACAUUAAAAAUGCAUGAUAUUUAAAUUCACAAUUUUUUCAAUUUUUUUUCAAUUUUUUUUUUUUUUACAAAAUCUGUCAAAGUACUUACAGUUCUAUCCAAAAACAAACUUUUUGGCCGAAAUACAAAAACAACUUUAAAUAAUUUAUACUGCUAGUUUAGCCUUAGAGAUUUAUUUAUAUUUAGUAGUAGUAGUCGUAUUCUUAUAACUAGGCCUAUAUAUUGGCAGAAGAAUGGAUGUCGUGCUGACAUCAUGCUGACAAUCAUAAACAACAGCACGUGGUGUCACAGGCAGUGGUCUUCAGAGUGCACCUGGAAAGACAACAAUGGACGAAACACGUCUCAUCGUGGAAGUUGAGAAACAUCAAGUUCUUUAUGAUCCACACAAUGUACUUUACAAAGACUUGCAAGCGAAGGAAAAAGCAUGGGAUGAAGUUGCAGCGGCUCUUGGUGCAGAUGGAUGUCCUUUGGUAAAUUUGCUUGCAAAUAAACCCUACACCAUAUUGUCCUGCCAGGACACUCUACCUUCAGGGGAGCUGAAAAAUGUGCAAAUUUUUUCCCGCACAUCGUAAGCCUCUCUGCAUCCCCUAUUUCCACCCAUGUUUGUAGCAGGUGCUAGCACUUCCCCUCUCUCUUCUGCCUCAUCCAGCCACCUUUGAUUGUCCGAUGGGUUUGUAAGGAAGUUGUGAAGAAUGCAGGCUGCAGUUACAAUAGAGUCAGCAUUGUCUGGCUUCACGUUGAUCCGUGUAUGGAGUACCCUCCAUCUGGAUGAAAGAAUGCCAAAGGCACAUUCUACAACCAUUCUUGCUUGUGACAAUCGGUAAUUGAAUAUUUGUCUCCAUCGUGGGAUUCUGUUCCCUGGAAAAGGUCUCAUCAAAUAUGUUUUCAGUGGGAAUGCAGCAUCACCCACCAUGGUGUAUGGCAUUGGGCCUUGUACACCAGAUCCAGAUACAGGCAAAGAGCAGUCAGCAGGGACAGACAAAGUUUUGGCCUCCAUGCCUCUCCCGAGAGCAGAACCACUGAACACUCCACCAUCACUUGUUCUGCCGAAGUCUCCGACCUGUACAAAUGUAAAUCUGUACUCUGCAUCUGCUAGUGCAAGAAGAACUAUUGAGAAAGUUCUCUUGUAAUUAAAAAAACAAGCUACCAGAAUGUGCAGGUGACAUAAUGGUAACAUGUUUCCCGUCAAUAGCACCUAGGCAGUUUGGGAAGUUCCAUUUUUCCCAAAAUUUGGAUGCUAUGGCUCUCCACAUGUGCUCUGUUGGUCUAGGGAACUGUGAUGCCAUCAUUUGCUCCUCAAUUGCUCUACAAGUCAUAUGGACAGAUUCAGCAACGGUGCUUUUCCCUAGACUGUACUGGAAGGCCAGGCUGGUGAAGCUCUCUCCAGUUCCCAGAAAUCUGUUAAAGACAAAUAAAUAUAACAAGUUUUUUUCCCCCUGUAUAACAUAUGCAGUAUAUAUACAUGUAUAAAUUCUCUUGUUAAUACACGUUUAUGUGUUUUACAGUGAACGACUGUAAGCGAAGAUGGAAGUUGUUGAGAGAUGCUUUUAACAGAAACAAGAAGCAAAAAAAAUUGCCCAGUUGUUCUGCAGGUGGCAUAAUCAGGGAAUGGAAGUACGAUAGAGUAAUGUCAUUUCUGUUGCCAUACAUGCAGCCUAGAAGUUCCAGACACACUUUGCAGAGUGAGCCGGAACCUCUGGACAUGAC